rfam:Oryza glumipatula chromosome 9, whole genome shotgun sequence.
UUUGUAUUUACUCUCUCCGGUCCAGUCCAAUGUUUCACUGUUCGUCUUAUUUUAAAAUUUAUAAAAAAUUAAAAAAAAGUCACACAUACAGUAAUAUUUAUGUUUUAUCAUUUAAUAACAAAAAAUACUAAUCAAAAAGAAUUUCAAAUAAAACGGUCAGUUAAAUGUUGGAUACAGAAAUUCACAACUGUACUUAAA